AGGGAGCUCUGUUGAGUAUGUGAUAACAGAAAAGAUGAAGAUGGGUUGUUGCUAGUGUUGGAUUCAACUGAUCGUGCAGUGCGUUGAGACAAUCUUCUCAUACGUUCUCUUAAAUUGGAUUGGUGAACAACAAUUUCGUCCAUUUCCACGUCUGCAAUAGGGGAUCCUCUUUUGCCCUAUUUAUUCCUUAUUUGCUCAUAAAAAGCCUUUUAGAUUUCUUCUAAACGUUUUUUCAGGUUUGUAAGUCAACUUUCAUAGUUCCUCCUGCUAUUUUUUUUUCAGAUGAUAGUCUUUUGGUCUUUUGAGCGAAGGAGUCUAUGUGGUAAGUGAUUAAAGAGUUCCAAGAGAUGUAUGAGCAGAGACUUUAG
rnacentral:lncRNA from 1 species